GUACACGCUGUGACUAGCAUAUCAAUAAGCGGAGGAAAAGGGUACCUACGCUUAGGAUGUUGACGAGACUGUCGAUCUCAUACAUGACUCUGUGCAUAUCAAUAAGCGGAGGAAAAGAAACUAACAAGGAUUCCCCUAGUAACGGCGAGUGAAGCGGGAAGAGCUCAAAUUUGAAAUCUUAAAGGGUUUCCCUUUACGAAUUGUAGUUUAAAGAGGUGUUUUCUGUUGAGGUUUUGGUAAAAGUUCUUUGGAAUAGGACAUCAUAGAGGGUGAGAAUCCCGUAUUUGACCUUUACUUUCAACUUUGUGAUACACUUUCAAAGAGUCGGAUUGUUUGGGAAUGCAGUCCAAAAUGGGUGGUAAAUUUCAUCUAAAGCUAAAUAUUGGCGAGAGACCGAUAGCGAACAAGUACCGUGAGGGAAAGAUGAAAAGAACUUUGAAAAGAGAGUUAAACAGUACGUGAAAUUGUCAAAAGGGAAGCGUUUGACACCAGUGUUGUUUUUCUGAAAAUCAAUUAAAGAACUGUUUAUGCUAAGUUGUUUAGACUUUAUCAGCUAACUGUUUAGUUUUGAGCUUUUCUUUAAUGCACUUUUCAGUUAACAAGUCAACAUCAAUUUCUUUUGCUGUAAAAAAGCUUGAGGAAGGUGGCUUGAGAUUCGUCUUAAGUGUUUAUAGCCUCUUGCCUAUGCAGUCGGAGAGAUUGAGGUCUGCAGCGUAGAUCCUUCGGGGCUAAAUGCAUUUGUGCUAAGUUAUAGCAUUUUAUAGACAACUUGUUGACUAUGAUUUGUCUUGUAGCUUACUCGCUUAUGUUAUUUUACCUACGCUUAGGAUGUUGAGUCGUAGAGCACGCAG
rnacentral:rRNA from 1 species